CCCCCCCCCCCCCCCCCCCCCCCCCCCCCCCCCCCCCCCCCCCCCCCCCCCCCCCCCCCCCCCCCCCCCCCCCCCCCCCCCCCCCCCCCCCCCCCCCCCCCCCCCCCCCCCGGCGCGGGGGGAGGGAGGUGAAGGGGUGGGAAGGGGCUGCUGCAGCCCCUCGUCCGUGGAGGAUUCCUGGGAAUCAUCGAAUCAGCAAAUCCCGGAUUGGUUUGGGUGGGAAGGGACGUUAAAGCUCAUUUCAUUGCACCCCUGCCCUGGCCAGGGACAUCUCCCACCGUCCCAGGGACACCUCCCACUGUCCCGGGCUGCUCCAAGCCCCAUCCAACCUGGCCUUGGGCACUUCCAGGGAUGGAGCAACCCCAGCUUCUCUGGGAAAUCCACUCCCGUGCCUCACCACCCUCGCAGGGAAGGAUUUCUUCCCAGUAUCCCAUGGACGCGAUGGGUGGGGGCACCUCCCUCGGGAGGUCACUGCGUCUCAGCCACCCCCAGCCCACCUUCCCUGCGCCUUUGCCCCCUUUCCAAGCCCAUUUUGGCUGGCGACAGACACGGACCUGGUGGCGAGCGUCGGCAUCGCCGCCCCCGAGCUUUGCCGGGGAGCGAUUUCUCCCCCAGGCACGGAGCGAGCAUCCAUUCCCCUCGGAGCUCCUCUCUCGCAAGCAAAACGCAUCUGGGGGAACACAUAAAUCCCCGAAAUUCCCAGCUUUCAGCCCCAAGGAGCCUGUCCCCGUGUCACAGCCGAGGUGCCAUUGAGCUGAGCUGUUUGUCACCAGAGCCGGGUUGGGAAGCGGGAGGGUAAACACGGAUGAACAGCCUUCACCCGCUCCAGUAAAUAUUUUAUAUCCCACACCAAGAAAAGACACUCCUAUUUAAAUGAUUUAUCAAGGAAGAUCAUGUAGAGGUUUCCAUAAAAUAUGUAGGGCUCCUAAUCCCGACAUCAUCAAGCCAAGAGGACCGGAAUCAUUUAUUACCUUCCCAACAGCCGCGCGGCUGCGGGGACGCGACUGACAAAUAAAAGUGUGUUUACAGCUUUUGGGCUCCUCUGGGGAGAGGUAAAUCACGGCGGGGGUGGGAAGGGGAAAAGGAGCCGGAAAUUAAGCGGCAAUUCCUGUCCGUCAGGGCGGUGCGGGGCGGGGGAUGCCGGACACGGCGAGUCCCAGUGUCCCCCGGUGUCCCCCGGUGUCCCCAUCGCGGCUGCCGCGUUCUCCGGUGGGAUUUCUGGGGUGGGCGUUGGGUGUAACCACUCUGGGAUGCCCAGAUGUGGCCAGAUGUUGGUGCACGUCGAGUCUGUGCUGGGAUGGGAUCUGCAGGGAUGUCACACCUUUCCCCAUUUCCAGGGGGGGUCCUGGGGAUGGACACGCGGCACAAACCCCUCUGGGAUGCCCAGAUGUGCCCAGAUGUCCUGCAGGUCGCAGCUGGACAGGGAUCAGCCAUCUGGGAUGGGUUUUUGUGGGCAUCAGCAGAAUCAGGAUGGGGCCCACAGGGAUCGACCUCUUCCCCCUCGGAGCUGGCACCCACCCCACGCUCC
rnacentral:lncRNA from 1 species